GAGCGAUUAGCUCAGUUGGCUAGAGCGCCUGCUUGACUCGCAGGAGGCCACAGGUUCAAAUCCUGUAUCGCUCACCA
rnacentral:tRNA from 1 species